UGUUCCCUCUGCCCCUUGGCCCCCAAAUGCUAUAAAAGCUCCACGCCCACCUGUCCCACAACAACUGUUUUGUACAUAUAAAAGCCAGGGAUGGCGUUAAGGGGUAGCAAGCAGGGCAAUUGCCCAGGGCCCCAUGCCACAGGGAGCCCUAGGAAGCUAAAAUGCUCAGGCUU